rnacentral:rRNA from 1 species
GACGAACGCUGGCGGCGUGCCUAAUACAUGCAAGUCGAACGCAGUGGGGACGGGUGAGUAACACGUGGGUAACCUCCCAUCAGAGGGGAUAACACUUGGAAACAGGUGCUAAACCCAUACUGAUGUAUGUACCAGCUGUGCAUUAGCUAGUUGGUGGGGUAACGGCUCACCAAGGCCACGAUGCAGAGCCGACCUGAGAGGGUGAUCGGCCACACUGGGACUGAGACACGGCCCAGACUCCUACGGGAGGCAGCAGUAGGGAAUAUUCGGCAAUGGACGAAAGUCUGAGCAAGCCACGCCGCGUGAGUGAAGAAGGUUUUCGGAUCGUAAAACUCUUUUGUUAGAGAAGCGGUAUCUAACCAGAAAGCAACGGCUAACUACGUGCCAGCAGCCGCGGUAAUUC